UCCCAUAAGACCACACACUUGCUAGGUGCGCGGUCAAAGAUGGCCUCUGUUUCAAGCUUUCGCUCAGGGAGGGGUUCAUGGCCUAUUAGCUUGUUGGUGGGGUAAGGGCCUACCAAGGCUAUGAUGGGUAGCCGGGCUGAGAGGUUGUUCGGCCACACUGGGACUGAGACACUGCCCAGACUCCUUCGGGAGGCUGCAGUCGAGAAUCUUUCGCAAUGCGCGCAAGCGUGACGGAGUGACGCCGCGUGGAUGACGAAGGCCUUCGGGUUGUAAAGUCCAAUCGAGGGGGAAGAAACGUAGGAGGGUAACACUCUGCCUGCGUGACGUUACCCCGGUCGAAGCGCCGGCUAAACACGUGCCAGCAGCCGCGGUAAGACGUGUGGCGCAAGCGUUGUUCGGAAUCACUGGGCAUAAAGAGCGCGUAGGCGGUGUCGUAAGUCGGGUGUGAAAGCCCUCGGCUCAACCGAGGAAUUGCAUCCGAAACUGCGGCGCUCGAGUAUGGGAGGGGGGAGUGGAAUUCCUGGUGGAGCGGUGAAAUGCGUAGAUAUCAGGAGGAACGCCGGUGGCGAAGGCGACUCUCUGGCCCAUUACUGACGCUGAGUGCGCGAAAGCUAGGGGAGCAAACAGGAUUAGAUACCCUGGUAGUCCUAGCUGUAAACGAUGGGCACUAAGUAGAGGGGUUU
rnacentral:rRNA from 1 species